rnacentral:rRNA from 1 species
UCCACCGCAUGGUGGGUGUUGGAAAGAUUUAUCGGUUUUGGAUGGACUCGCGGCCUAUCAGCUUGUUGGUGAGGUAAUGGCUCACCAAGGCGACGACGGGUAGCCGGCCUGAGAGGGUGACCGGCCACACUGGGACUGAGACACGGCCCAGACUCCUACGGGAGGCAGCAGUGGGGAAUAUUGCACAAUGGGCGCAAGCCUGAUGCAGCGACGCCGCGUGAGGGAUGACGGCCUUCGGGUUGUAAACCUCUUUCAGUAGGGAAGAAGCGAAAGUGACGGUACCUGCAGAAGAAGCACCGGCUAACUACGUGCCAGCAGCCGCGGUAAUACGUAGGGUGCGAGCGUUAUCCGGAAUUAUUGGGCGUAAAGAGCUCGUAGGCGGUUUGUCGCGUCUGUCGUGAAAGUCCGGGGCUUAACCCCGGAUCUGCGGUGGGUACGGGCAGACUAGAGUGCGGUAGGGGAGACUGGAAUUCCUGGUGUAGCGGUGGAAUGCGCAGAUAUCAGGAGGAACACCGAUGGCGAAGGCAGGUCUCUGGGCUGUAACUGACGCUGAGGAGCGAAAGCAUGGGGAGCGAACAGGAUUAGAUACCCUGGUAGUCCAUGCCGUAAACGUUGGGCACUAGGUGUGGGGACCAUUCCACGGUUUCCGUGCCGCAGCUAACGCAUUAAGUGCCCCGCCUGGGGAGUACGGCCGCAAGGCUAAAACUCAAAGGAAUUGACGGGGGCCCGCACAAGCGGCGGAGCAUGCGGAUUAAUUCGAUGCAACGCGAAGAACCUUACUAGGCUUGACAUGUUCUCGAUCGCCGUAAAGAUACGGUUUCCCCUUUGGGGCGGGUCCCAGGUGGUGCAUGGUUGUCGUCAGCUCGUGUCGUGAGAUGUUGGGUUAAGUCCCGCAACGAGCGCAACCCUCGUUCCAUGUUGCCAGCACGUCGUGGUGGGGACUCAUGGGAGACUGCCGGGGUCAACUCGGAGGAAGGUGAGGACGACGUCAAAUCAUCAUGCCCCUUAUGUCUUGGGCUUCACGCAUGCUACAAUGGCCGGUACAAUGGGUUGCGAUACUGUGAGGUGGAGCUAAUCCCAAAAAGCCGGUCUCAGUUCGGAUUGGGGUCUGCAACUCGACCCCAUGAAGUCGGAGUCGCUAGUAAUCGCAGAUCAGCAACGCUGCGGUGAAUACGUUCCCGGGC